rnacentral:rRNA from 1 species
GAAAUCGUGUGCCUCAACCAUACUCACAUUAUCUAAACUGCUCAGCUAGAGCACGGGAGAGGUCACUGGAAUUUCUAGUGUAGGAGUGAAAUCCGUAGAUAUUAGAAGGAACACCGAUGGCGUAGGCAGGUGACUGGCCCGUUGCUGACACUAAUGCACGAAAGCGUGGGGAGCGAACUGGAUUAGAUACCCAGGUAGUCCACGCCGUAAACGAUGGAUGCUAGCUGUUAUCAGUAUCGACCCUGGUAGUAGCGAAGCUAACGCGUUAAGCAUCCCGCCUGUGGAGUACGAGCGCAAGCUUAAAACAUAAAGGAAUUGACGGGGACCCGCACAAGCGGUGGAGCGUGUUGUUUAAUUCGAUGGUAAGCGAAGAACCUUACCCAGGCUUGACAUCCUGCCAAAUUUGCCGAAAGGCGAAUGUGCCUUCGGGCCGCAGUGACAGGUGAUGCAUGGCCGUCGUCAGCUCGUGUCGUGAGAUGUUUGGUUAAGUCCAUUAACGAGCGCAACCCUUAUAGUUAGUUGUAUUUUUCUAGCUAGACUGCCCUGGUAACAGGGAGGAAGGAGGGGAUGAUGUCAGGUCAGUAUUUCCCUUACGUCUGGGGCUACAAACACGCUACAAUGGCCAGUACAAAGGGCAGCCAAGUCGCAAGACGGAGCAAAUCCCAUCAAAGCUGGUCUCAGUUCGGAUUGAGGGCUGAAACUCGCCCUCAUGAAGCCGGAAUCGCUAGUAACGGUAGGUCAGCACACUACCGUGAAUACGUUCCCGGGUCUUGUACACACCGCCCGUCAAACCAUGAAAGUCACCAAUACCUGACGUCUG